GAUAAUUAAUAAACACAAAUUAAAAAAUAUUAUUUAAAUACUUGAGUAAUCUUUUUUUGGGUUCUCUAGUAAUAGGGUGAUUUUACUUAAGUUCUUUUAGGGUUGCUUUACUUAAUUUAUGAUUAUUUAUAUAAUUAAUUAAUGUGAGAGUAACUAUAGUGGGUUGCUCCACUAAUGAUGGUCUAAGUCCUUUAGUCCUUCUCCUAUUUAACUCUGUUUGUUCUCUGUAGAACCCUUUUUAUCGAAUGAAUUAACAAAAUGUUUAUCUUCUUCCUCAACGUUUCUACUCUUCUCUCCUAAUCUUCUCUGAUUCUUCACCUCAAUCCCUAAUUCUUCUGUUUCUUAUCUCCAUUUCUAUUAUUAUCCUUGAUAAGGUGAUUUCCAUCUUAUCAAAUUGAUCUCUCGCCUCGUCGUAUUUUUCUUCCUGAGACGUUAUCGAGAUCGGAUGAUGAAUACGCAGGAUAAAGAGAUGUCGCCUCGUCGUCUUCUUCUUUGAUCAAGUCUUCGACCUAUGGAGAAAAGGUGGAAUUGGAGCAAUACCCAACUGGUCCUCAUAUUGCUUCUCAUAUGGUUUUCACUAUAAAUUCUUCUUUCCUCUACUCGAAAGUUUAUGCUUUUGUUGCUUACAUACACCUUUUGGGCUAUGAGGUUAAUUUCAUACUUUCUGUGGUCUGUGGAAUGGGUUUUUCUUAAUUAUCUCACUGGGCGUUUUGCUUUACUCUUAUGUUUAACUGAGUUUAGUGGAGAAAUAUUCAUAAAAGGCUAUUAUUGAUGUUCAUAAAAUGCAUUCAUAAAAGGCUAGUUUUUGUUAAUUCUUGUUUGAUGUUCUUUUGUUAAGUUCUGAGUCAGCUGCUGGUGAAGAAACUGAGUUUUGUUGAUAGGUUUGUUAAGUUCUGAGUCAGCUGCUGGUGGCGUUUUCAUUUGUGAUUUGGUGAUGAUGAUAGGUUUGCUUACGGCUGUUCAUAAGGAUUAUUUUAGAGUUGUGAACUCAAGGGAUUUGCUUUUUAACGAUUGUGGUGACAGAGUUGCGCAGUUGCUACAUGUAGAAUUAGUUCCUCCUUACUCUCAGUAUGAUGCUCAUCAACAAGUUUUGAUUGUCAAUACUCAUUUGCUGUUUCCUCAUGAUUCAACUUUGUCUAUAGUAAGACUGCAACAGGUUUAUAAGAUUCUUCAGUAUGUAGUGUCACAGUCUUUAAAACACUGUGAAUACAUAAUUGGGCAUUAGGUUGAGAGAUUAGGCCGAGACUAUGAUUGAUUUAUGACAUUGACAUUCUUCUCCUCAAGCUGGUUCUUGGCGUUGUGGAACUUGGUCUUCGUGUCCUGUCUCUUGCUUCAUCGUCUUCGCCUUUUGUGUCAUGUCUCUUGCUUCUUCUUCCUUUUGCCUCCAACUGCUUUUCUUGCAUCAUCAUCCUCAUCUUUACUUGUUCCGUGAAAAGCACUUAAGUAUUGAUCUUGUUUUAUUAUAUGAUGUUUAGCUUUAUGUCAGUCAAUUAUAUAUUUAUAACCAACAUGUUACAAAAGUAUAGAAGGAAUUAAAAGUA